rnacentral:lncRNA from 1 species
UUUUUUUGUCACCACGGCAUAAUAAAUACAAGCUAGAAAAACAAAAAUAUCUCAAGAAAACUUACAAUAGUGUGUUCUAUCCUGAUUAUGUACUAAAUAUUCCAAAUUGCUAAAAACAGCAGAAUGAUUUAGGAAAUUUGAGGCCUCAGGGGCAAAAAACAUAGAAAAUUGCCUACCCCCUGGGUCAUAAAACAAAUAAUUUAACUUGUAAAUGCUAUGAUUUUACGAUUUUAAAGUUCUUGAUAUAGAAAACAAUAACUAUGCUUAGAAGUUAUGCAAAAAUCAGAUGUUAGUAGUCAUCUCUACAACAUUUUAAGUGAAUUUAUAUCUCAGACUGGUAUCUGCAUACAUACAACUAUUGCAAAC